rnacentral:rRNA from 1 species
AACGAACGCUGGCGGCAUGCCUAACACAUGCAAGUCGAACGAGACCUUCGGGUCUAGUGGCGUACGGGUGCGUAACGCGUGGGAACCUGCCCUUAGGUUCGGAAUAACUCUCCGAAAGGGGUGCUAAUACCGGAUAAUGUCUUCGGACCAAAGAUUUAUCGCCUUUGGAUGGGCCCGCGUUGGAUUAGCUAGUUGGUAGGGUAAAAGCCUACCAAGGCGACGAUCCAUAGCUGGUCUGAGAGGAUGAUCAGCCACACUGGGACUGAGACACGGCCCAGACUCCUACGGGAGGCAGCAGUGGGGAAUAUUGGACAAUGGGCGAAAGCCUGAUCCAGCAAUGCCGCGUGAGUGAUGAAGGCCUUAGGGUUGUAAAGCUCUUUUACCCGGGAUGAUAAUGACAGUACCGGGAGAAUAAGCUCCGGCUAACUCCGUG